rnacentral:tRNA from 1 species
AAAGUCUCUAAUAAAGUACCAAUACAGUGUUAUUGGGGUGAUGCCAAAACAAAAAUCAUGGUUCCCAAAGGCCA